GAUGAACGCUGGCGGCGUGCCUAAUACAUGCAAGUCGAGCGAACAGAUAAGGAGCUUGCUCCUUUGAAGUUAGCGGCGGACGGGUGAGUAACACGUGGGUAACCUACCUAUAAGACUGGGAUAACUUCGGGAAACCGGAGCUAAUACCGGAUAACAUUUAGAACCGCAUGGUUCUAAAGUGAAAGAUGGUUUUGCUAUCACUUAUAGAUGGACCCGCGCCGUAUUAGCUAGUUGGUAAGGUAACGGCUUACCAAGGCGACGAUACGUAGCCGACCUGAGAGGGUGAUCGGCCACACUGGAACUGAGACACGGUCCAGACUCCUACGGGAGGCAGCAGUAGGGAAUCUUCCGCACUGGGCGAAAGCCUGACGGAGCAACGCCGCGUGAGUGAUGAAGGGUUUCGGCUCGUAAAACUCUGUUAUUAGGGAAGAACAAAUGUGUAAGUAACUGUGCACAUCUUGACGGUACCUAAUCAGAAAGCCACGGCUAACUACGUG
rnacentral:rRNA from 1 species